ACGAACGCUGGCGGCGUGCUUAACACAUGCAAGUCGAACGGUGAAGCGCCUUCCUUUUUGGUGGGUGUGGAUGAGUGGCGAACGGGUGAGUAACACGUGGGUAACCUGCCCCCUUCUUCUGGAUAACCGCAUGAAAGUGUGGCUAAUACGGGAUAUUCUGGGUCUGUCGCAUGAUGGGUCUGGGAAAGAUAUUGUUUCGGUGGGGGAUGGGCUCGCGGCCUAUCAGCUUGUUGGUGGGGUGAUAGCCUACCAAGGCGGUGACGGGUAGCCGGCCUGAGAGGGUGGACGGUCACACUGGGACUGAGACACGGCCCAGACUCCUACGGGAGGCAGCAGUGGGGAAUAUUGCACAAUGGGCGCAAGCCUGAUGCAGCGACGCCGCGUGAGGGAUGGAGGCCUUCGGGUUGUGAACCUCUUUCGCCAGUGAAGCAGGCCUGCCUCGUUUGUGGGUGGGUUGACGGUAGCUGGAUAAGAAGCGCCGGCUAACUACGUG
rnacentral:rRNA from 1 species